GUGCCAGCAGCCGCGGUAACACGUAGGCACCAAGCGUUGUCCGGAUUUAUUGGGCGUAAAGAGCUCGUAGGCGGUUCAGUAAGUCGGGUGUGAAAACUUUGGGCUUAACCCAAAGCGUGCAUCCGAUACUGCUGUGACUUGAGUACGGUAGGGGAGCGGGGAAUUCCUAGUGUAGCGGUGAAAUGCGCAGAUAUUAGGAGGAACACCGGUGGCGAAGGCGCCGCUCUGGGCCGAAACUGACGCUGAGGAGCGAAAGCAUGGGUAGCAAACAGGAUUAGAUACCCUGGUAGUCCAUGCCGUAAACGUUGGGCACUAGGUGUGGGUUCCAACCAACGGAAUCCGCGCCGUCGCUAACGCAUUAAGUGCCCCGCCUGGGGAGUACGGCCGCAAGGUUAAA
rnacentral:rRNA from 1 species